GGUUCGGGCCGACCUCCACCCUUUGUUUUAACCGACCGCGUUGCCUCGGGGGACGAGCGAUCGUCCCCCGGUGGCCCCCUCAAACUCUGCUUCAUCAAGCGUCUGAGUACACUCGAGAAAUCGAAACAAAACUUUCAACAACGGAUCUCUUGGUUCUGGCAUCGAUGAAGAACGCAGCGAAAUGCGAUAAGUAAUGUGAAUUGCAGAAUUCAGUGAAUCAUCGAAUCUUUGAACGCACAUUGCGCCCCGUGGUAUUCCGCGGGGCAUGCCUGUUCGAGCGUCAUUACACCACUCCAGCCCCGCUGGGUGUUGGGCGUCCGCGGCCUCGCCGCGCGCCUCAAUGUCUCUCGGCCGCGCCGACCGUCUCCCAGCGUUGUGGCAUACACACCCGCUCCGGAGGCCGGCCGUCGCGUCGCCGUCGACCCCCCCUUUUUUUACAGG
rnacentral:misc_RNA from 1 species